GCAGUACCGCGGUAAUACGGAGGGGGCUAGCGUUGUUCGGAAUUACUGGGCGUAAAGCGCACGUAGGCGGCUUGGUAAGUUAGAGGUGAAAGCCUGGAGCUCAACUCCAGAAUUGCCUUUAAGACUGCCGAGCUAGCAGGUGAGAGAGGUAAGUGGAAUUCCGAGUGUAGAGGUGAAAUUCGUAGAUAUUCGGAAGAACACCAGUGGCGAAGGCGGCUUACUGGCUCAUACUGGACGCUGAGGUGCGAAAGCGUGGGGAGCAAACAGGAUUAGAUACCCCGGUAGUCCCUGUCUCUUAUACA
rnacentral:rRNA from 1 species